rnacentral:rRNA from 1 species
UAGGGAAUCUUCGGCAAUGGGGGGAACCCUGACCGAGCAACGCCGCGUGAGUGAAGAAGGUUUUCGGAUCGUAAAGCUCUGUUGUUAAGGAAGAACGAGUGUGAGAAUGGAAAGUUCAUACUGUGACGGUACUUAACCAGAAAGGGACGGCUAACUACGUGCCAGCAGCCGCGGUAAUACGUAGGUCCCGAGCGUUGUCCGGAUUUAUUGGGCGUAAAGCGAGCGCAGGCGGUUAGAUAAGUCUGAAGUUAAAGGCAGUGGCUCAACCAUUGUAGGCUUUGGAAACUGUUUAACUUGAGUGCAGAAGGGGAGAGUGGAAUUCCAUGUGUAGCGGUGAAAUGCGUAGAUAUAUGGAGGAACACCGGUGGCGAAAGCGGCUCUCUGGUCUGUAACUCACGCUGAGGCUCGAAAGCGUGGGGAGCGAACAGG